GAUGAAGAACGCAGCGAAAUGCGAUAAGUAAUGUGAAUUGCAGAAUUCAGUGAAUCAUCGAAUCUUUGAACGCACCUUGCGCUCCUUGGUAUUCCAAAGAGCAUGCCUGUUUGAGUAUCAUUAAAUUAUCAACUGUACCAAUGUGGUUGCAGAUUGGAUGUGGGAGAUUUUGCAGGCUUUUGAUUUCUCUUUGAGAAAACGGUCAGCUCUCCUGAAAUAUAUUAGCAGUGCCUUUGUUGGUUCAUUAGGUGUGAUAAUUUAUCUACAUCUUCACAUGGUACCUUCAUUUGUGUAAAGGUCAAAUUGCUUCUAAUUGUCUUUGGACAUAAAAAAAAAAAAACAUAUAAUUGUAUGGAAAACUUGAUCUCAAAUCAGGCAGGACUACCCGCUGAACUUAAGCAUAUCAAAAGCGGAGGA
rnacentral:misc_RNA from 1 species